rnacentral:rRNA from 1 species
GAUCCUGGCUCAGGAUGAACGCUAGCUACAGGCUUAACACAUGCAAGUCGAGGGGCAUCAGGAAGAAAGCUUGCUUUCUUUGCUGGCGACCGGCGCACGGGUGAGUAACACGUAUCCAACCUGCCCUUUACUCGGGGAUAGCCUUUCGAAAGAAAGAUUAAUACCCGAUAGCAUAAUGAUUCCGCAUUGGUUUACAUUAUUAAAGGAUUACCGGUAAAGGAUGGGGAUGCGUUCCAGUUAGGUUGUUGGUGGAACGG